UACAGAGGGGGCAAGCGUUGUUCGGAAUUACUGGGCGUAAAGGGCGCGUAGGCGGCCUGCUAAGUCGAACGUGAAAUCCCCGGGCUUAACCCGGGAACUGCGUCCGAUACUGGCAGGCUUGAAUCCGGGAGAGGGAUGCGGAAUUCCAGGUGUAGCGGUGAAAUGCGUAGAUAUCUGGAGGAACACCGGUGGCGAAGGCGGCAUCCUGGACCGGCAUUGACGCUGAGGCGCGAAAGCUAGGGGAGCAAACGGG
rnacentral:rRNA from 1 species